rnacentral:rRNA from 1 species
AGUAAAUUUAUUUAAAAAUAUUGGAUUAGUAUUAGUUAUGUUCUUAAAAUUUAAUAAAUUUGGCGGUAUUUUUUCUAAUCAGAGGAACUUGUUUUAUAAUUGAUAAUCCUCAUUAAAUCUUACUUAAUUUAUUAAAAUAUGUAUACCGUCGUCAUCAGGAAAUCUAAAAAAAGAAAAAAUUUUCUAAAAUUUAAAUUAAGAAUUAUGUCAGAUCAAGGUGCAGUUUAUAGUUAAGAAAAAAUUAGUUACAAUAAAUUUAUUUAAGUUGGAUUUAUAAUUUAAAUAUUAUAAUGAAAUUGGAUUUGAAAGUAAAUCAAUAAAUUAAAAUUGAUUGAUUAAGUUUAAAAAUAUGC